rnacentral:rRNA from 1 species
AGCAGGGCUCGUGCUUACACAUGCAGUCGAACGCUGAAGCCUGGUGCUUGCACCGGGUGGAUGAGUGGCGAACGGGUGAGUAACACGUGAGUAACCUGCCCCUGACUUCGGGAUAAGCCCGGGAAACUGGGUCUAAUACCGGAUACGACUGCCGGACGCAUGUCUGGUGGUGGAAAGUUUUUUCGGUUGGGGAUGGGCUCGCGGCCUAUCAGUUUGUUGGUGAGGUAAUGGCUCACCAAGACGACGACGGGUAGCCGGCCUGAGAGGGCGACCGGCCACACUGGGACUGAGACACGGCCCAGACUCCUACGGGAGGCAGCAGUGGGGAAUAUUGCACAAUGGGGGAAACCCUGAUGCAGCGACGCAGCGUGCGGGAUGACGGCCUUCGGGUUGUAAACCGCUUUCAGCAGGGAAGAAGCGCAAGUGACGGUACCUGCAGAAGAAGUACCGGCUAACUACGUGCCAGCAGCCGCGGUAAUACGUAGGGUACGAGCGUUGUCCGGAAUUAUUGGGCGUAAAGAGCUCGUAGGUGGUUGGUCACGUCUGCUGUGGAAACGCAACGCUUAACGUUGCGCGUGCAGUGGGUACGGGCUGACUAGAGUGCAGUAGGGGAGUCUGGAAUUCCUGGUGUAGCGGUGAAAUGCGCAGAUAUCAGGAGGAACACCGGUGGCGAAGGCGGGACUCUGGGCUGUAACUGACACUGAGGAGCGAAAGCAUGGGGAGCGAACAGGAUUAGAUACCCUGGUAGUCCAUGCCGUAAACGUUGGGCACUAGGUGUGGGGGGCAUUCCACGUUCUCCGCGCCGUAGCUAACGCAUUAAGUGCCCCGCCUGGGGAGUACGGUCGCAAGGCUAAAACUCAAAGGAAUUGACGGGGGCCCGCACAAGCGGCGGAGCAUGCGGAUUAAUUCGAUGCAACGCGAAGAACCUUACCAAGGCUUGACAUACACCAGACCGUCCUGGAACAGGUCCUCUUCUUUGAAGCUGGUGUACAGGUGUGCAUGGUGUCGUCAGCUCGUGUCGUGAGAUGUUGGGUAAGUCCCGCACGAGCGCACCCUCGUUCUAAUGUUGCAGCACGUGAUGGUGGGACUCAUAGGAGACUGGCGGGUCACCUCGGAGCAGUGGGAUGACGUCAUCAUCAUGCCUUUUAUGUCUUGGGCUUCCACGCCACUGUCUCUCACAAAUGCCUGGUC